rnacentral:rRNA from 1 species
CUAUACAUGACUCUGCGCAUAUCAAUAAGCGGAGGAAAAGAAACUAACAAGGAUUCCCCUAGUAACGGCGAGUGAAGCGGGAAGAGCUCAAACUUGAAAUCUUAAAGGGUUUCCCUUUACGAAUUGUAGUUUAAAGAAGUGUUUUCUGUUGAGGUUUUGGUAAAAGUUCUUUGGAAUAGGACAUCAUAGAGGGUGAGAAUCCCGUAUUUGACCUUUACUUUCAACUUUGUGAUACACUUUCAAAGAGUCGGAUUGUUUGGGAAUGCAGUCCAAAAUGGGUGGUAAAUUUCAUCUAAAGCUAAAUAUUGGCGAGAGACCGAUAGCGAACAAGUACCGUGAGGGAAAGAUGAAAAGAACUUUGAAAAGAGAGUUAAACAGUACGUGAAAUUGUCAAAAGGGAAGCGUUUGACACCAGUGUUGUUUUUCUGAAAAUCAAUUAAAGAACUGUUUAUGCUAAGUUGUUUAGACUUUAUCAGCUAACUGUUUAGUUUUGAGCUUUUCUUUAAUGCACUUUUCAGUUAACAAGUCAACAUCAAUUUCUUUUGCUGUAAAAAAGCUUGAGGAAGGUGGCUUGAGAUUCGUCUUAAGUGUUUAUAGCCUCUUGCCUAUGCAGUCGGAGAGAUUGAGGUCUGCUGCGUAGAUCCUUCGGGGCUAAAUGCAUUUGUGCUAAGUUAUAGCAUUUUAUAGACAACUUGUUGACUAUGAUUUGUCUUGUAGCUUACUCGCUUAUGUUGUUUUACCUACGCUUAGGAUGUUGACAGCAGUAUAGACUGU